rnacentral:rRNA from 1 species
AGUUUGAUCCUGGCUCAGGAUGAACGCUAGCUACGGGCUUAACACAUGCAAGUCGAGGGGCAGCAUUUUAGUUUGCUUGCAAACUGAAGAUGGCGACCGGCGCACGGGUGAGUAACACGUAUCCAACCUGCCGAUAACUCCGGGAUAGCCUUUCGAAAGAAAGAUUAAUACCGGAUGGCAUACGAAUAUCGCAUGAUAUUUUUAUUAAAGAAUUUCGGUUAUCGAUGGGGAUGCGUUCCAUUAGUUUGUUGGCGGGGUAACGGCCCACCAAGACUACGAUGGAUAGGGGUUCUGAGAGGAAGGUCCCCCACAUUGGAACUGAGACACGGUCCAAACUCCUACGGGAGGCAGCAGUGAGGAAUAUUGGUCAAUGGGCGAGAGCCUGAACCAGUCAAGUAGCGUGAAGGAUGAAGGCUCUAUGGGUCGUAAACUUCUUUUAUAUGGGAAUAAAGUUUUCCACGUGUGGAAUUUUGUAUGUACCAUAUGAAUAAGGAUCGGCUAACUCCGUGCCAGCAGCCGCGGUAAUACGGAGGAUCCGAGCGUUAUCCGGAUUUAUUGGGUUUAAAGGGAGCGUAGGUGGAUUGUUAAGUCAGUUGUGAAAGUUUGCGGCUCAACCGUAAAAUUGCAGUUGAAACUGGGAGUCUUGAGUACAGUAGAGGUGGGCGGAAUUCGUGGUGUAGCGGUGAAAUGCUUAGAUAUCACGAAGAACUCCGAUUGCGAAGGCAGCUCACUAGACUGUCACUGACACUGAUGCUCGAAAGUGUGGGUAUCAAACAGGAUUAGAUACCCUGGUAGUCCACACAGUAAACGAUGAAUACUCGCUGUUUGCGAUAUACAGUAAGCGGCCAAGCGAAAGCAUUAGGUAUUCCACCUGGGGAGUACGCCGGCAACGGUGAAACUCAAAGGAAUUGACGGGGGCCCGCACAAGCGGAGGAACAUGUGGUUUAAUUCGAUGAUACGCGAGGAACCUUACCCGGGCUUAAAUUGCGACAGAAUAUAUUGGAAACAGUAUAGCCGUAAGGCUGUUGUGAAGGUGCUGCAUGGUUGUCGUCAGCUCGUGCCGUGAGGUGUCGGCUUAAGUGCCAUAACGAGCGCAACCCUUAUCUUUAGUUACUAACAGGUCAUGCUGAGGACUCUAGAGAGACUGCCGUCGUAAGAUGUGAGGAAGGUGGA